rnacentral:rRNA from 1 species
UUCGGGACGCCGGCGAGUGGCGAACGGGUGAGUAACACGUGGAGACCUGCCCUGGGGUGGGGGACAACAGCUGGAAACGGCUGCUAAUACCGCAUACGCCUUACGGGGGAAAGAUUUAUUGCCCGAGGAGGGUUCCGCGUCGGAUUAGCUUGUUGGUGGGGUAACGGCCUACCAAGGCGACGAUCCGUAGCUGGUCUUAGAGGAUGAUCAGCCACACUGGGACUGAGACACGGCCCAGACUCCUACGGGAGGCAGCAGUGGGGAAUAUUGCGCAAUGGGGGAAACCCUGACGCAGCGAUGCCGCGUGGGUGAAGAAGGCCUUAGGGUUGUAAAGCCCUUUUAGUGGGAACGAUGAUGACGGUACCCACAGAAAAAGCUCCGGCUAACUCCGUGCCAGCAGCCGCGGUAAUACGGAGGGGGCAAGCGUUGUUCGGAAUUAUUGGGCGUAAAGCGCGCGCAGGCGGUUUGUUAAG